GGCGGAACGAUAUAUCCUUUCGGGUUAUCUGCUGAAACCUUAGUGGAUUGGUUAGGCGACUCUAAACAAGUAUAACCCUCGGGCUCCCCCCCGGGCGCUAGCUGUCCUCUGCGGAUAGCGACAUUACCAGUGUGCGGGAAGAUUCGAAUCGAUCGGAUAACCCGCAGUCACGGUUGUGACUCACAGGCUAAAUGGUAAUGGGUGUAGCCACCAGAGUAGCUACACUUCAGAUAUAGUCGGUCCCCAGAUGUCUCUGGGAGGCUUGUGGAGAAAAUCUCCCAUAAGCGGGCUAAACGUUCCGUAGGUGAACCUGCGGAAGGAUCAUUACCGAGAGAGGGGCCUCGCGCUCCCGGGGGCUUCGGCCCCCAACUCUUCACCCAUUGUCUACUUACCUUUGUUGCUUUGGCGGGCCUUGGGGUCCGCCCCACGCCGGCCCCGGUGCCGGCGAGCGCCCGUCAGAGGCCCUCAAUCAUCCUGCUUAAAUUAGUGAUGUCCGAGUAAAACAUGAAAUAGCAAAAACUUUCAACAACGGAUCUCUUGGUUCCAGCAUCGAUGAAGAACGCAGCGAAAUGCGAUAAGUAAUGUGAAUUGCAGAAUUCAGUGAAUCAUCGAAUCUUUGAACGCAUAUUGCGCCCCUCGGUAUUCCGGGGGGCAUGCCUGUUCGAGCGUCAUUACACCCCUCAAGCGCAGCUUGGUAUUGGGUUCUCGCCCCCUCGGGCGUGCCCGAAAAGCAGUGGCGGUCCGGUGCGGCUUUAAGCGUAGUAAAUUUUCCCGCUUUGAAAGUCCGUCCCGCGGCCAGCCAGAAACCCAACAAAUCAUCGCAAUUGACCUCGGAUCAGGUAGGGAUACCCGCUGAACUUAAGCAUAUCAAUAAGCG
rnacentral:rRNA from 1 species